AUGGCAUCAACACGCGUGGAGCGGAUUCAUCCUUCCGUCUCACACCUGUGAGAGCUCGAACUUUAAAACUCGAGUCUUAGUUUGUCAGUUGGGAAAUUUGUAACUAUUCAAUGACUUGCCGGAUGUGAAUUCUCGUCGGGGUGGUGGAACGUGGCUACUGCGGAAAUGAUUUCCUUUGGUCAGAUCCAUGAGUUUCUAAGCCUUCCGAAAGACCCAUCAGGCAGCUGCAGCCAGGAUGGAAUGUUAGCCAUGCCACCGGAUCCGAACCGGAGGGAACAUGCCUUUCAUCUUAAUUCCAGGCUGGACAAGGGAACGCACUAUAUUCUCCGCUCUGUACGAACAAGAGGAAACUUUCCCAGAGUGUUUUUCUUUUGCAUUUCUGAGUCUUAUUGGAUUGGAAGCUUGUCCAUGCGGCCCAGCAGGGUCCAUUUUCCAUAAUAAGGCUAAAAAUAUGUCGGCAAUGUUUUCUUUAGCACGGUCUACGAGGGUCAGGCACGAAAGUGCCAGAACUCCUUUUCUUGCUGAUUCUAGUUCACCUUUCCCCGGAGACGGUCCCGCUGUUAGCCUACCUUUCUUACUCGGUGUUAUUCUUCUGAUAGGCCACGUAACCCGGCGUGUAAUCCAACAUGGAAUAAUUGUAGAAAUUUAUUCCACGUCCCUCUAAAAUACAGAUUUUGUUCUUUCUUGAUGGUUA